UACGUAGGGUGCAGGCGUUAAUCGGAAUUACUGGGCGUAAAGGGCGUGUAGGCGGUCGGCCAAGUCUGAUGUGAAAGCCCGAGGCUCAGCCUCGGAAGUGCGUCGGAAACUAGUCGGCUGGAGCGCGAUAGAGGAGGGUGGAAUUCCUGGUGUAGCGGUGAAAUGCGUAGAUAUCAGGAGGAACACCGGCGGCGAAGGCGGCCCUCUGGAUCGUUGCUGACGCUGAGACGCGAAAGCGUGGGGAGCAAACAGG
rnacentral:rRNA from 1 species